CCUACGGGAGGCAGCAGUGGGGAAUCUUGCGCAAUGGGCGAAAGCCUGACGCAGCAACGCCGCGUGCGGGAAGAAGGCUUUCGGGCUGUAAACCGCUUUCAGCAGGAACGAAAAUGACGGUACCUGCAGAAGAAGGAGCGGCCAACUAUGUGCCAGCAGCCGCGGUGAUACAUAGGCUUCAAGCGUUGUCCGGAUUUAUUGGGCGUAAAGAGUUCGUAGGCGGUCGAGUAAGUCGGGUGUGAAAAUUCUGGGCUCAACCCAGAGACGCCACCCGAUACUGCUUAACUUGAGUUCGAUAGGGGAGUGGGGAAUUCCUAGUGUAGCGGUGAAAUGCGCAGAUAUUAGGAGGAACACCGGUGGCGAAGGCGCCACUCUGGAUCGAUACUGACGCUGAGGAACGAAAGCAUGGGUAGCAAACAGGAUUAGAUACCCUGGUAGUCCAUGCCGUAAACGGUGGGCACUAGGUGUGGGAUUCUAUUAACGAAUUCCGCGCCGUCGCUAACGCAUUAAGUGCCCCGCCUGGGGAGUACGGUCGCAAGCUAAAACUCAAAGGAAUUGACGGCUUGAGAGUUGCGAGCGACGACGAGGGAGAGG
rnacentral:rRNA from 1 species